GGACUGCUGUUGGCUGCGUCAUGCGCGGAUGUGGUUCCCACUCCUUCACAAAUGGUCUGGCCUUGCGCGAAAGGGUUCAUCUAUAAGCAUUUCACGCACUUUUAUGUACUCCAAACCCAUGAUAAUUGCCAUCUACAUGUAUUUGCCCAAAAGGGGUCUCGUUUCUCCACGCUUUGUACCAGUCCUCUACAGCAUAUAAUUAUAUCCUCCUUUGAUUCUGUCUCAUUUGGUUGUGAGCUCUUAUAAUAUUAAUUUUCAUAGCGAUCUGAUGCUCACCAUCCGUUCCUUUAUCACUGGACAGUUAUCUCCUUCGGGUUGCGAAUUGAUACUAUUCCACGUCAAAGGUGGUCUCGGGUACAGGCAGGUAGGCAAGUCACCGUUUGCUUCCCAUCAUAACGGAAUCCAGAGACAGCGGUAUCUGGGCUUCUUUCGUUUAGUUUUGGCAAUCGACCAGCCGUUUCAAGAAUACCGGUUUCCUUCUUCUUACGGACGAGAGGCAUAAGCGGUUGACCAUAACCCAAAUGCGUGGUGACUCCAGAAAAUGAGACCUAACACUCAUUGGCAGGUGAUAUCUGCCAAAGGGGUUAUUGUCAUCGCAGCACUCCUUACGCUGCUGACAGCCAAUGAAGUGUCAACACAGAACCUCGGCGACAUACAUUGCACUGUUCCAAGGCAGACUGGUGGAUUAAGAGUGCCCAACCCUGGAUCUACUGUCCUCCACGGAAUAGUAGUGAAUGUACAAUGUGAUGCUGGUUACUACAUUACCGGUCAAUCACAAUCUACCACGCGGAAGCGUAUCACGUGUGGAAAUGGCGGUCAAUGGACACCAUCUGUGCCAUCUUGUUCACACAUACAUUGCACCGUUCCAAGGCAGACUGGUGGAUUAAGAGUGACCAACCCUGGAUCUACUGUUCACUACGGAAUAGUAGUGAAUGUACAAUGUGAUGCUGGUUACUACAUUACCGGUCAAUCACAAUCUACCCCGCGGAAGGACAUCACGUGUGGAAAUGGCGGUAAAUGGACACCAUCUGUGCCAUCUUGUUCACAGAUAUAUUGCACUGUUCCACAUCACAUUCUUCGAUUAAGAGUGGUCUACCCUGGAACUACUGUUCUCCGCGGAAUAACAGUGAAUGUACAAUGUGAUGCUGGUUACUACAUUACCGGUCAAUCACAAUCUACCUCGCAUAAGAAUAUCACUUGUGGAAAUGGC